GGAGGAAAAGAAACCAACAGGGAUUGCCUUAGUAACGGCGAGUGAAACGGCAAAAGCUCAAAUUUGAAAUCGGCCACCAGGUCGAGUUGUAAUUUGUAGAUUGUAUCUUGAGAGCGGAUUAAAGUCUGUUGGAACACAGCGCCUUAGAGGGUGACAGCCCCGUAAAAUCUAUUCUCAUUGUAAGAUACUUUCGAAGAGUCGAGUUGUUUGGGAAUGCAGCUCUAAGUGGGAGGUAAAUUCCUUCUAAAGCUAAAUAUUGACGAGAGACCGAUAGCGAACAAGUACUGUGAAGGAAAGAUGAAAAGCACUUUGAAAAGAGAGUGAAAAAGUACGUGAAAUUGUUAAAAGGGAAGGGUAUUGAAUCAGACUUGGUGCUGUUGUUCAACUGUGUUUCGGCAUAGUGUACUCAGCAGUACUAGGCCAAGGUGGGGUGUUUGGGAGUGAAAAAGAAGUAGGAAGGUAACUCUUCGGAGUGUUAUAGCCUACUUUCAUAGCUCCUCAGGCGCCUCAGGACUGCGCUUCGGGAAGGACCUUGGCAUAAUGAUUCUAUAC
rnacentral:rRNA from 1 species